rnacentral:lncRNA from 1 species
GAAAAGCAAGGCUGCAUUUUCCAUUGUGGCAGCCCUCAUUAACAUUAAACCCCAGCCUGACAAGCAGAUCAGCCUUUUCUCUGACUUAGGUGUCAUCACCACAAUUUGCACUAGCUUCUUCCCAGAUUGAGGAGCUUAAUCAAGUGAAUAUCUCGCAGAAGACUCCUAAGAAGAUCUCAUAUCUAGUACUGGUCAUUCACCAGGCACUUCUCUGCUCUUCUGUCAAACAGAUUAAGUGCAGUAAAAUGGCAGA